rnacentral:tRNA from 1 species
CUAAGUAUAGCUUAUCUAAAGCAUUCCAUUUACACUGGAAAAAAGCCCAUUAAACCUGAGCUACUUAGA